rfam:Echovirus type 12, prototype Travis complete RNA genome.
AAAUGGCUGGAUUCCUUUUAAAUUAGAGACAAUUUGAAAUAAUUUAAAUUGGCUUAACCCUACUGUACUAACCGAACUAGACAACGGUGCAGUAGGGGUAAAUUCUCCGCAUUCGGUGCGAAAAAAAAAAA